GACGAACGCUGGCGGCGUGCCUAAUACAUGCAAGUCGAACGAGAGCGACCGGUGCUUGCACUGGUCAAUCUAGUGGCGAACGGGUGAGUAACACGUGGGUAACCUGCCCAUCAGAGGGGGAUAACAUCCGGAAACGGAUGCUAAAACCGCAUAGGUCUUCGAGCCGCAUGGCUUGAAGAGGAAAAGAGGCGCAAGCUUCUGCUUAUGGAUGGACCCGCGGUGCAUUAGCUAGUUGGUGAGGUAACGGCUCACCAAGGCCGUGAUGCAUAGCCGACCUGAGAGGGUGAUCGGCCACAUUGGGACUGAGACACGGCCCAAACUCCUACGGGAGGCAGCAGUAGGGAAUCUUCCGCAAUGGACGCAGGUCUGACGGAGCAACGCCGCGUGAGUGAAGAAGGUUUUCGGAUCGUAAAACUCUGUUGUUAGAGAAGAACAAGUGCUAGAGUAACUGUUAGCGCCUUGACGGUAUCUAACCAGAAAGCCACGGCUAACUACGUG
rnacentral:rRNA from 1 species